GGUUUGAUAGUAUAAGGUCUAAUAGUAUUAGGCCUGAUAGUAUAAGCU
rnacentral:pre_miRNA from 1 species